UGACAAAUUGGAAUUGGCUCA
rnacentral:piRNA from 1 species